GCAAGAAUUCAAGCCUGCUGGCCUUGCUUGAGCUAGACACUGCUAUUGCAUGGGAUGCAGUGACCUAUGAGGAUGUGCAUGUGAACUUCACUCAUGAAGAGUGGGCUUUGCUGGAUCCUUCCCAGAAGAGUCUCUACAAAGAUGUGAUGCUGGAAACCUGCUGGAACCUCACUUGUAUUGGUUACAAAUGGGAAGACCACAAUAUUGAAGAACAUUAUCAAAUUUCUACAAGACGUGUAAGGU